GGGGAUAUAGCUCAGUGGCACAGCACCUGCCUGGGAAGCACGAGGUUGUGGGUUCCAUCCCCG
rnacentral:tRNA from 1 species